rnacentral:rRNA from 1 species
ACGCGAAGAACCUUACCAGCUCUUGACAUUCGGGGUUUGGGCAGUGGAGACAUUGUCCUUCAGUUAGGCUGGCCCCAGAACAGGUGCUGCAUGGCUGUCGUCAGCUCGUGUCGUGAGAUGUUGGGUUAAGUCCCGCAACGAGCGCAACCCUCGCCCUUAGUUGCCAGCAUUUAGUUGGGCACUCUAAGGGGACUGCCGGUGAUAAGCCGAGAGGAAGGUGGGGAUGACGUCAAGUCCUCAUGGCCCUUACGGGCUGGGCUACACACGUGCUACAAUGGUGGUGACAGUGGGCAGCGAGACAGCGAUGUCGAGCUAAUCUCCAAAAGCCAUCUCAGUUCGGGAUUGCACUCUGCAACUCGAGUGCAG